rnacentral:rRNA from 1 species
GUGGGGAAUUUUGGACAAUGGGCGAAAGCCUGAUCCAGCCAUGCCGCGUGUGUGAAGAAGGUCUUCGGAUUGUAAAGCACUUUAAGUUGGGAGGAAGGGCAGUAAGUUAAUACCUUGCUGUUUUGACGUUACCGACAGAAUAAGCACCGGCUAACUUCGUGCCAGCAGCCGCGGUAAUACGAAGGGUGCAACCGUUAAUCGGAAUUACUGGGCGUAAAGCGCGCGUAGGUGGUUUGGUAUGUUGGAGGUGAAAUCCCCGGGCUCAACCUGGGAACUGCCUCCAAACCUGCAUGACUAGAGUACGGUAGAGGGUAGUGGAAUUUCCUGUGUAGCGGUGAAAUGCGUAGAUAUAGGAAGGAACACCAGUGGCGAAGGCGACUACCUGGACUGAUACUGACACUGAGGUGCGAAAGCGUGGGGAGCAAACAGGAUUAGAAACCCCAGUAGUCC